AACGAACUAAAGGAAGUUGACGGGGCCCGGCACAAGCGGUGGAGUAUGUGGUUUAAUUCGAUGCAACGCGAAGAACCUUACCUGGUCUUGACAUCCCGGAGACCCUUAGGAAACUAGGGGGUGCUUCCAUCUGGAAGAAUCUGGAGACAGGUGCUGCAUGGCUGUCGUCAGCUCGUGUCGUGAGAUGUUGGGUUAAGUCCCGCAACGAGCGCAACCCUUGCCUUUAGUUGCCAGCAGUUCGGCUGGGCACUCUAAAGGGACUGCCGGUGUUAAACCGGAGGAAGGUGGGGAUGACGUCAAGUCCUCAUGGCCUUUAUGACCAGGGCUACACACGUACUACAAUGGCCGAUACAAAGGGCAGCGACACUGCGAGGUGAAGCCAAUCCCGUAAAAUCGGUCUCAGUCCGGAUUGGAGUCUGCAACUCGACUCCAUGAAGUUGGAAUCGCUAGUAAUCGUGGAUCAGCAUGCCACGGUGAAUACGUUCCCGGGCCUU
rnacentral:rRNA from 1 species